rnacentral:lncRNA from 1 species
CUGUGUGCUGUCUCAUCAUCUACUUCUACUCUUUGAAAGCAAGCAAAUAACAUCUGUGACAAAGUGGUACAUGUAGGUAAUUCUAAGCCAAGGAUUGUUAUAUACCACAGAAGAAGUGUGAUACAGAGUGGAAAAGGCAGUAAAAUGGAAACUGAGACAUUGAGUUAGUUACUGCAUGAAAUCUUGAUUGGGGAACCACUACACAACCAGCUGCAGUGAAGGGAAGCUUUGCAGCACCUUACACAAGGUAUUGCAGGGAAUGUAAAUAAAGGUAAUUACCCUCCACUG